CACCAAAUUGAACAGAUAGCUACACUUAAUUUGUGACAGUUGUUUUAAGGGUCUUUAUUAAUUAACAUUGUGACACUUAUACACUUAAUUUUAAAAGCGUCAGUACUCUGUCUAUAUCUUUCACUAUUUUUUUUAACUUUCUAAUUUUUUCAAAACUGGAUUUCACUAUUUCACUGUGGUUUCCGAUGAGAUGAGAAGAGGUGAAGAAUAGGGAAAGUAACACAGCAAGCUUCACCAUGCUUCAGUUCGUCGUUCAUCGUCUCACCAUUCACCAUCGCGGUUCGCAUUCGCUGUUCAUUGUCGCGGUUCGCGUUCGCCGUCCCUGCGUUGUCCUUUCUUUUCCUCUCUUUUCCGAGUGCGAACCCUAAUUCUCCGUACGGUGACUUUUUCUUCUCUUCCAACCUCAAUACUUGACUUUGAUAGUGAGUAUUCAAUUGUUCUUCUAUUAUAAUUUUUACCCUGCAAUUUUUUUGUUGUUGCUUAAUGUUUGUUGUGCUGAAAUUGUUGCAAUUGUUGGUUCUUAGUACUCUAUUUUGUUGUAAUUUAUCGUAAUGAUUAUAUCCUCAUGUUCAUAUUUGCUAUUUUUAUUUGAAUUCUCUUAUUUAUUUUUCCGCACUCAACAUGUUCGAUAAAAUGCUUCAACUAGAUUUCUUUGAAUGCUGUAUUUCUUAUUUCUUCUUUUGAUUUCUUUGAUUUUUUGUGCCUUGAUGAUAUCAUGAACGGGUUAGUGACCUUCUUGAAUUAUGCAAAUUGCUACAACAGAGAUGGAAAAGCUAAUUUGCUGAACUUAUUGUUCACUGGUGGUUAAUCACGAGGUUGGCAAAUGCUUCAACUAAAUUAACAAACAGGUUGGCUGUGGAAAACUUGAAUGAGUUGUGCUGGUACCCUAAAAUGUGGACAGAUGGCUCACGUCAGGUGCAUAGUUCAGCAAGCUUAGGGGUAAAAACUAAUUAUUCUUUAUAUUCCUUAUAUUUUGAUUCCACUUACAUAUUAAAUGAGUAUGACUUAUUUUUCUUCUAAUUUUAGACUAAGGUUUCAUAUCAGUGAGUCAAUGACAAUAUAAUUCAUGAUAAUUAUUAGUUCGCACGUCAUGUUACAAAUUAAAAUGAUAAAUAGUCUUUUUCCCCUCCUUUUAUUAAUCUAAUGAGUUUUAGAAUUGAGUUAUAAAUAGUUUUUAGUGUUGAGUGACACCAGGUACUUUUUAAAAAAAUCUAUUUUUGUAACUGGGUCUUCUUUGUUCUCCUUAAAGGUUGGAACUUGUUUUUAAACUAAUGUUAGCUUAGUUCAAGUGGUUCUGCAUUGGUUAAUUGGUAUAAUUUGGUCAAUGUCUAGUUCUAGUAUGCCUAUAAGUUGAAACUAUUUAAUUUGGUUAAUGUCUAGUUCUAGUAUGCCUAAUUAAUUGUUAUUAUUUAAUUAGGAGUUUUGAUGGACAUUAUCUUUACUGCAUAUUUAAUUAAGGCAUUCGAAUCCAAUCCCAUCGAUAAGGCUUUGUUCAUUACGUGGUGCUAUGGCUCAUGUAUUUUGUAUAUCUGAUUUUUGAGAUAUAUGCCACAGGCCAGGUUCGAUCAAUCUUCAAAUUUGUGUUCUCCAAUCAUUACGGAUUCACCUUUAAGACAUUUUUAAUUGUGUUCUGUUUUAGUCAUAAAUAAUUACUACUUUCCAAUUUUUUGUAGAAAAAUUUAACCUAUUGGAAUAAUUACUAUUUUGCAUUUUCUUCUUAUUGAUGCACUUACCACUGUAUAUGAUGGGUGAUUCUGGCACCGUGGAGUCUGUGUUUAGGGCCAUUCUAUUUGUAUGAAAAUAUUAAUUAUUUAGAAAUUUCUUCCUGCAAAUUUAGAGCAUGCUUUGUAUUUCACUGAUAUUGAAUGGCUUACACCUUUUGGACAUUAAUUUGAGGCAAUGAACAAUAGUAAUCUAAAACCUAGUUCAAGAAAUGUACUAUGCUUGUGCUUGAUUGUUGCUAGUGGUUCCAGGCUGGUUAAUUUUUCUGUGUAAAAUAUCAAUAAUAGAGCAGAUAUAAUAACUCUUAUUAUUUCUCACUGUUACAACUCUUACACUGUAUACAUACCCAAGCAUAGUUUAGUUGUUGAUGAAGCCCUCAAAUAUUUUAAUCUUUUGCUUAUAACUACUACUUCUUGCUCUUGGAUUAUUUUCAUAGUUUAUUCUUGUGUUUUCAACCCGGAUUUGAAGUGACUGAAGAUUGAUCAUUCACCAUAAGGCUUUUGGACUGAACCAGAAUAAUGUUGUCAACUGCAAAAGAAGCUAUUGAGCUUGCAUCAGAGGGACUGGAUACCAUUGAAGCAAUUGAUUGUGAUUUAGGAUCAUCUUGGAGUUUCCUUUUGGGAACUUGAUUCCAAGUAUACUGUGUUGGUAUGGUGCAAUCAAAUACUUCAAUGUUUCCUUCUGAAUUGAGAGGUGAAAAGGUUUGAUUAAGGCCUAUCUGUGAAACCUUUGUCAUGUUUGGAUCAGGAAUGAUGUUAUUAGUAGCUAGUGCUCUUCUUUGUUCUGUUUUAUUAAGCUCUGACAAAGUGAAAUCAGAUUCAUGAAGUUGCACUAAUCCAUUAUUUGGACAUCUGAAGCCGUCAAUUGAAACUACAUUUUGUUGCUUGUUCAUAGAGUUACUUAAUACUAUAGCUUCCGGGAUCUUUCGGAUUCAAAUCCGGAUUCUUUAUUCCACUUGAGGAGCACUUCUUCUGAUCUCUCUGCUUCUGCAACCUACUCAAGUAGAGCCUGUAUUCCAAGAUAUUUGGAGCCAAAUUGUCUGAAGGUGUUUUCAUUGGCUCAUUUCUCUCCAUGUCAUCAAUAGCAGUGAGGACAAGAGUUGCUUGUGAAGUAAUUGUUGAAGCUGGAUACUAUUGAGGUUGAAGGUGAAGCGAAGUUGCGGAGAAAAGUUGAGGAUUAAGUUACAAGUACAAUUGUUAGCUUUAUAUGUUUGGAUUAAGUUGGGAUUUUUUGAAUUUAUAUUUUAUGGAUUAUGACUAUGUAAAAUUUGUAGAAUUCAAUUUUGAAAUAUAUUGUUUCUAUUUUUGUAAAACUUGUGAGAUUGAGUUUAAAUUUGUUGAAAUAUAAUGCUAUUUAUUA